GCAUGUGUACGAUGAACGAUGUGCCAGGGCUCCAGCUUCUGCCGCAAACUCUGUGUCAUUUGAAAGUGUGAGGCGCACACUGCUAAAUGAACGAAACAAAUACCUUCCUCCUGCUCCAGCCAGCCCCUUGUAGGCAGCAGACUGCUUGGCAUCAAAUGCUAUGUUCCAGCCACUCUAAAUGUGUGGCUACCUACAACGAUAACCCUGGCUUGAUAUGUAUGGGGAUGGUAUAGAACGUGUAUGGCAGCAUCUCGCCAAGGCAGAACUGAGCAGCCAGACGACACGGAACCAUCAGAGGCUAUCCACCAUUCCCCCAUUCGCCCUCCCAGGCGUAGCCGCCCACGUGAAGCAGCAGCCCCUUACACACCACCAAGAACACGUAUGGCAACAUCUUGCCAAGCCAGAACUGAGCCGCCAGACGACGCGGAACCAGGACCAUCAACUCUGCAAUCAACUAGUGACAAAGCUGACUGUGUGUUGUGCUGCAGUGCCUCUGUGAAUAAGAAAAAGCCAGUCUGCCUUUUUCCCUGUGGCCACACAACUGUCUGCCUUGCAUGUGUCACAAUUACAAAUAACUCUACAUAUAAACAUUGUCCCAUCUGCAGAACA